UCCUAUGUGGGCUAACUGGAUAUGCCGCCCGGCGCGCCAUUAAACAUGAAAGGGAGAUGCGGGUUCGAAUCCCGUCAUAGGAA
rnacentral:tRNA from 1 species